rnacentral:sRNA from 1 species
AGAUAAAAUUUAAUACCAGAAAAAGAAACAAGAUUGUUCACAGUGAUUAUAUGUUUCUACAGGUGUAACUUGUGUUUAUUGGACAUUCUAGCCAAACCAAGUAACCAUGAGACAUGCAUAUCUACACAAAGAAGCCAUUUUUACCUUGCUGCAUGGGAUAUCCCAUCAUGCCACCCUGUCCAGGAAACUGCUGUUGACUUCCUGGAGGAACCAUUCCAUAAGGUUGCAUCCUGUGCAUCAAAUAGUUAUUCUUAUCAUAAAUUCUAAAACUUGGGUUUCUUUAAAAAUAUUUUAACAAUAAAAUAGAAGAUUCCAGAAGAAUCCAGAAUCGCAAAAUUUUCCUCUCAAUAUGUUUUAACAAAAAAUAAGGCAGGAGAUUACAAUACUAUAAAAGAUAACACAGCCUUUAGAAGAAUACUAACCCCUGCAUCUGAUAUCCCCCGUUUGGAUAGCCAUACCCCUGGGGCAUGUACUGCUGCUGAGGCAUGUAGGAGGGAUAAGCUGCAGGGUAACCGUAGCCCAUGUUGUAAUACUGACCGCCAUACUGUCCAGCGGGCUGGGUCGCAGACUGAGACUAAAAAAAAUCACAAACGGCGUUCUUUAUUUCAUUUUUUAAUAUUAACAUUUUAGUCUUCAUACUAUUAUGUAAAACUGUGACAAACAAGGAUCAAUAUCCAUACAAAACUUUC